rnacentral:sRNA from 1 species
AAAGCCAGGGCUGGGACUUCCUACAGGACCAUCAGUUUCUCCUGAUCAGCAGCCUUUCCUUCCGCAGAGAGCGAGGGCUGGCGGGAGCAGCUGGCCCUGAUUGCGGGCACGGCAGUCGUGGGUGUGGUCCUGGUCCUGGUGGUCAUUGUGGUCGCGGUUCUCUGCCUCAGGAAGCAGAGCAGUGGGAGAGAAGCAGAAUAUUCGGACAAACACGGACAGUAUCUCAUCGGGCACGGUACUAAGGUCUACAUCGACCCCUUCACUUAUGAAGACCCUAAUGAGGCUGUGAGGGAAUUUGCAAAAGAGAUCGAUGUCUCCUACGUCAAGAUUGAAGAGGUGAUUGGUGCAGGUGAGUUUGGCGAGGUGUGCCGGGGGCGACUCAAGGCCCCGGGGAAGAAGGAGAGCUGUGUGGCAAUCAAGACCCUGAAGGGUGGCUACACGGAGCGGCAGCGGCGCGAGUUCCUGAGCGAGGCCUCCAUCAUGGGCCAGUUCGAGCACCCCAAUAUCAUCCGCCUGGAGGGUGUGGUCACCAACAGCAUGCCCGUCAUGAUUCUCACAGAGUUUAUGGAGAACGGCGCCCUGGACUCCUUCCUGCGGCUAAACGACGGACAAUUCACGGUCAUCCAGCUCGUGGGCAUGCUGCGGGGCAUCGCCUCGGGCAUGCGGUACCUUGCCGAGAUGAGCUACGUCCACCGAGACCUGGCUGCUCGCAACAUCCUAGUCAACAGCAACCUCGUCUGCAAAGUGUCUGACUUUGGCCUUUCCCGAUUCCUGGAGGAGAACUCUUCCGAUCCCACCUACACAAGCUCCCUGGGAGGAAAGAUUCCCAUCCGAUGGACCGCCCCGGAGGCCAUUGCCUUCCGGAAGUUCACUUCCGCCAGUGAUGCCUGGAGUUAUGGGAUUGUGAUGUGGGAGGUGAUGUCAUUUGGGGAGAGGCCGUACUGGGACAUGAGCAAUCAGGACGU